CGCGGGGUAGAGCAGAUGGUAGCUCGUCGGGCUCAUAACCCGGAGGUCGCAGGUUCAAGUCCUGUCCCCGCAACCA
rnacentral:tRNA from 13 species